rnacentral:tRNA from 1 species
GCCCCCAUAGUCUAGCGGUUAGGACGCCACCCUUUCAAGGUGGAGGUCACGGGUUCGAACCCCGUUGGGGGUGCCA